rnacentral:rRNA from 1 species
GAUGAACGCUAGCGGCAGGCUUAACACAUGCAAGUCGAGGGGCAGCGCGGGAUAGCAAUAUCCUGGCGGCGACCGGCGGAAGGGUGCGUAACGCGUGAGCGACAUGCCCGUUGCCCGGGGACAACCGGUGGAAACGCCGACUAAUCCCCGAUGGGAUAUUGUGCCGCAUGGCACGAUAUUGAAAGUUACGGCGGCGACGGAUUGGCUCGCGUCCGAUUAGCUGGUUGGCGGGGUAACGGCCCACCAAGGCUGCGAUCGGUAGGGGUUCUGAGAGGAAGGCCCCCCACAAUGGGACUGAGACACGGCCCAUACUCCUACGGGAGGCAGCAGUGAGGAAUAUUGGUAAAUGGGCGGAAGCCUGAACCAGCCAUGCCGCGUGCGGGAAGGAGGCCCUAUGGGCUGUGAACCGCUUUUGCCUGGGGGCAAUAAGGGCGUCGCGCACGUCCGAUGAGAGUACCAGGCGAAUAAGCAUCGGCUAACUCCGUG